UGGGGAAUAUUGGACAAUGGGGGGAACCCUGAUCCAGCCAUGCCGCGUGUGUGAAGAAGGUCUUCGGAUUGUAAAGCACUUUAAGUUGGGAGGAAGGGCAGUAAGCGAAUACCUUGCUGUUUUGACGUUACCGACAGAAUAAGCACCGGCUAACUCUGUGCCAGCAGCCGCGGUAAUACAGAGGGUGCAAGCGUUAAUCGGAAUUACUGGGCGUAAAGCGCGCGUAGGUGGUUCGUUAAGUUGAAUGUGAAAGCCCCGGGCUCAACCUGGGAACAGCGUCCAAAACUGGCGAGCUAGAGUAGGGCAGAGGGUGGUGGAAUUUCCUGUGUAGCGGUGAAAUGCGUAGAUAUAGGAAGGAACACCAGUGGCGAAGGCGACCACCUGGGAUCAUACUGACACUGAAGUGCGAAAGCGUGGGGAGCAAGCAGG
rnacentral:rRNA from 1 species